rnacentral:misc_RNA from 1 species
AAGCAAGCUCAGAAACAGCUCGUUUCAAAAGCUCGCUAUCGGUGAAUAGAAUGGCUAGAUGACUUCUUAAUGCAAGUACUACAAUCAUGCAGAGUAUCCCAAUGAGAAGUGACUGAAACACUGUAACGUAUACACUACAUUUGGUCGCCCUGGCACGUCCUAGCCCAAGCUCAUUUGAGACCCGAACACUUAUGGCAGCAUUGACUCCAAUAAAAAACAUUGCUUCCCAUCCAUCGACAUUCAUGCAAAUCGAGAGGGCUCCAACUGCAGUAACUGCAUCUUUGAGAUGACCAGUGAGGAGAAUAAUACUCACCAUAUACCAGGUUUCUAGGCAUAGCAUAACAGCCGAUUCAAUAGACAGUCUAACAAAGGCCCAAAUCUCAUUGAAUGCAGACCAAGACCAUCCCUUCCAUCCAUCUUUGCACCAAAAAACUACGUAAGCAAAUUGAGCAAGUGCAUUGACCCAGCCUACAAGAUUAAAGGAUAUAGCUGCCCCGGUCAAACCCCAAUUGAAUACAUAAAUGAAGAGCCAAAGGAGAAUAGCAUGGAGUACGAGAGCCACAAAACCAAUCCAGGCCAGCACACCAACUUUACUCUGGGCUUGAAGAAA